rnacentral:rRNA from 1 species
AGAGUUUGAUCAUGGCUCAGGACGAACGCUGGCGGCGUGCCUAACACAUGCAAGUCGAGGGUUUGAUUUAUCAAGCACUGGCAUCCGGGUGAGUAACGCGUAGGUCAUCUGCCCCUAUCACAGACAUAACAGUUCUAACGGACUGCUAAUAUCUGAUGAGGCGAGCAAUCGUCAAAGCUUUGGCGGAUAGGGAUGAGCCUGCGUCUGAUUAGGUAGUUGGUGAGGUAAUGGCUCACCAAGCCUUCGAUCAGUAGCUGGUCUGAGAGGACGAACAGCCACACUGGAACUGAGACACGGUCCAGACUCCUACGGGAGGCAGCAGUGAGGAAUAUUGGUCAAUGGGCGCAAGCCUGAACCAGCGACGCCGCGUGGGGGAUGAAGGGGCUUUGCCUCGUAAACCUCUGUCGGAUGGGACGAAAGGUGGCUUUGAGCCACUGGGACGGUACCAUCAAAGGAAGGAUCGGCUAACUACGUGCCAGCAGCCGCGGUAAUACGUAGGAUCCGAGCGUUGUCCGGAGUUACUGGGUGUAAAGGGUGCGUAGGCUGUUCUGUGCGUCAGAGGUGAAAUCCACGGGCUUAACUCGUGGGGUGCCUUUAAUACGGCAGGGCUUGAGUACGAGAGAGGUGCGUGGAAUUCCUGGUGUAGCAGUGAAAUGCGUAGAUAUCAGGAGGAACACCGGUGGCGAAGGCGGCGCACUGGCUCGUAACUGACGCUGAGGCACGAAAGCGUGGGGAUCAAGCAGGAUUAGAUACCCUGGUAGUCCACGCCUUAAACGAUGCAUGCUUGGUGUUGGUCUCGCAAGAGAUCAGUGCCGUAGUUAACAUGAUAAGCAUGCCACCUGGGGAGUACGAUCGCAAGGUUGAAACUCAAAGGAAUUGACGGGGGCCCGCACAAGCGGUGGAUCAUGUGGUUUAAUUCGAUGCAACGCGAAGAACCUUACCCAGGCUUGAAGUCUACGUAGUAAAGAGAUGAAAGUCAAUUGACCCGCAAGGGAGCGUAGAGAG